AGUGAACGCUGGCGGUAGGCCUAACACAUGCAAGUCGAACGGCAGCACAGUAAGAGCUUGCUCUUACGGGUGGCGAGUGGCGGACGGGUGAGGAAUACAUCGGAAUCUACUUUUUCGUGGGGGAUAACGUAGGGAAACUUACGCUAAUACCGCAUACGACCUACGGGUGAAAGCAGGGGAUCUUCGGACCUUGCGCGAUUGAAUGAGCCGAUGUCGGAUUAGCUAGUUGGCGGGGUAAAGGCCCACCAAGGCGACGAUCCGUAGCUGGUCUGAGAGGAUGAUCAGCCACACUGGAACUGAGACACGGUCCAGACUCCUACGGGAGGCAGCAGUGGGGAAUAUUGGACAAUGGGCGCAAGCCUGAUCCAGCCAUACCGCGUGGGUGAAGAAGGCCUUCGGGUUGUAAAGCCCUUUUGUUGGGAAAGAAAAGCAGUAGGUUAAUACCCCGCUGUUCUGACGGUACCCAAGGAAUAAGCACCGGCUAACUUCGUG
rnacentral:rRNA from 1 species